rnacentral:rRNA from 2 species
GGACUACCCGGGUUUCUAAUCCUGUUUGCUCCCCUAGCUUUCGUGCCUCAGUGUCAGGAGUUGUCCAGAGACUCGCCUUCGCCACUGGUGUUCCUCUCGAUAUCUACGCAUUUCACUGCUACACCGAGAAUUCCAGUCUCCCCUCCAACCCUCUAGCAGGAUAGUAUUCAAUGCAUUUUCCGGGUUGAGCCCGGAGAUUUCACAUCAAACUUACCCCGCCACCUGCGCACCCUUUACGCCCAGUGAAUCCGAACAACGCUUGGGACCUCUGUAUUACCGCGGCUGCUGGCAC